CACAACGACUCUCGGCAACGGAUAUCUCGGCUCUUGCAUCGAUGAAGAACGUAGCGAAAUGCGAUACUUGGUGUGAAUUGCAGAAUCCCGUGAACCAUCGAGUCUUUGAACGCAAGUUGCGCCCGAAGCCUUCUGGCCGAGGGCACGCCUGCCUGGGCGUCACGC
rnacentral:rRNA from 1 species